CGCACCCCUCAGCAUGUGACCCGGCGCGGUGGGUUAUAAAGACACACUCCUAGAGCCCCGCAGUCACAGCUCAGCUCCUCUGCGAGACGAGGCCGAGGAAGAAGGAGCCAGUCUGUGUGUCUGGAAGUCAAGGUUUGGGAGUCAUGGGUGGCAGCGUGUCCGUGACGAACAACACGCCUUACCCCUGGUCCUACUGCUACUCCUACAUGGGCAGCACCAGCAGCAUCAAGGGGAGUGGCACGCUCUAUGGCUUCCAGAGCAGAACCCACGAGCAGAGAGAGAUCCUCAGCUACCUCUACGUGAAGUAUGGCUCCUGCAGCGCGAGCGAGUGCCUGAGCUCCUGCGACAUGGUGCGCUUCUACAAUGGCAUCGACAGGCCCACCUUCACCAUCCAGGAGUGCCACAGCCGCACGCGGGCGGAGCUGGUGUGCGACAGGGGCGGCGACAGGCCCUCGUGCGAGAACAGGGGUGAGUCCCCUCGGC
rnacentral:lncRNA from 1 species